ACUGGGUCGGCCUGGACUUAGGCUUGUUUGGAUGCCGUCCAACUCCUGCCACAGGUCAUCACGCCACCUGCAUGCGGCACACUUCGAUAGAGGUUUGGCGGCUCCCACAUCCAAUUUCCUUUUCCAAAAAAAAAACGAUCCAUUGUGCUUUGAUUGCCAAUCAAAUUAUUCAAUCAACAAAAUUUAACAUACAAUUAGAUAUUGAAUCCACAAUUAGCUAUAUUAUGAUUAAAGUCACUAAUUUGCUAUUUUACCUAUGUGACAUAUUUGCUGGCAAGAUGAGCAGAUGAAUGUUGAACGUACCCUCUAGUAUCCGCUUUGUUGGAACACAAGCAGAUUGCCUUUUUUGCUUAUAAAAACAUAAAAUACCAUAAGCUGCAGGCAUCUCACAAUUGUAGAUUGGAGAACAAACAAUAAUUUUUGAGAUUUUAGGUUACCUUGUAGAAUAGCAAGGGCAUUCUUUACUUGAGCAGGAUCGAAUAAAGCCAUCAACGGAGAGUAGCGGCGGUGUGGCCGUUCGCCCAUUUGUCAUCGCCGUCGAGCGGCGGCCGUGAUCACGGAGAACACCAACGCACCAAUGCUGAAGUUUGGAAGGUUGGGCGAGGGAGAAGAAUCGUCAAAUUCUGCGGCAAGUUUUUUUUUUCUUUUUCUGGCAUUGAUUGCAACCAUUGGUCUUCUCCCUUGGGCUCUUGGGUCUUGCGUAGGCUUGCCAUGCUUUGAUGAACUGGGCUGCCUAUUAAAUUUAGCUAUGUUGGGCUGCCGUUGGUGUUGGCCACCGUGCUCAAUGUAUUUUUCUACUGGGGUCAUGGCUGGUGAAAAAAUACGUGUACAAGGCAUUCGUAGCAAACCGCGGGGCUUAGGCAAGGCAACCCCGACGAGUCCAUGUAGAUUCGCCCCUGCCUCAGUGUGUGAAUUUGCAGCCACACAUUCUGUUGCGAGUGUGGCGGCGUCUAAGCCGUGGUGGGAUUUAUAAUGAGAACAGCCUAUGGCUGACAUGCAUAUCCGAACGCCGAACCAAACAGCUGCUGGUGGCGAGCCGAAUCUGAGGCGGCAGGAUGUGGUGGGGAAGCAAACACCCUCCUCCUCCCAAUAUUAUAAGGCUUUCAACAUGUCUAUAUUUUAAAAAUAGUAUAAAAGAGUUUCAUUCUAUAAAAUUCUCUCUACUCUUAUAAAACUUUUAUCAUCUCUUUCUUUAUUAAUACAGUGUCAUGUUAGUGUAUUAAUGAUCAUAAAAAUUCAUGGAACCCUCAUUGAGAUUGGGCUAAUUUCUACGAGAUAAAUCUGCAGGGCGUUGAGGUUGUCUUUGCUGAACCUUGCACACCGUGGGUGGACUUGUUGUCUGUUCCGGUCAUUUUUGUCUUGGGGACCCACCAAACACCGGUGUUCCCUCGAGCUUUGGUGUCACCUUAGACUUGCAUGGCCUAGACAUACUGAUUUUCUUGUUAGCAGUUCUUUUCCUUGUAGGGAUAAGCACAGUGGCAGGUUGUGCUGAGGAGCAAAGCCUAUUGAAGCUUUAGUGUGACCUUAGACUUGCAUGGUCUAGACAUACUGAUUUUCUUAAUCUCAGUUCUUCUCCUUGCAGGUAUGAGCACAACACCAGGUUGUGCUGAGGAAAUUAAUUGGAAGCAAGGCCUACAAAAGGGCUAAAAAAAAUUGCCUAAAAUUUGAAGUACCAGGUCCAAGAAGGGUCAGGCUGAACUUUGUAUAUGUUUGCAGCACAUAUACCAUUUUCUAGAGAAAAAAACAAUCAAUAACAGAGCUCCAAUUUGCAUACAUAGAAACAGAAUCCAAUCCCGGCGAUGGAUCAGGCGAUGAGCUCGGCUGAUGUGGGAUGCCGGCGGCAAACUGGGAGUGUUCCACAACUGGGCUUCCUAGCGAUUGGUCAGGCCCAACUCUAUGUACAACAAAUUAAAGCCGCACCUGGCUGUAAACCGUUACAAGCGCAAACGGCGUGUGGAUGGCCCAGCCCCGUUUAGGAGCAGCCGUGCAACAGGGCCUCUUCAAGCGUUUCAGGUCUUGUUCACUAUUUCAUGUAUUAACAACUUUGUACCAUCAUUAUACUUCAUGUUGUAUUCGGAACCAUACCACUUAAGUUAACCCACUACAUAAGGUCUUGUUUGGAUGUAGUUAGGUUAUCAUCAAUUUACAUGUGUUGGGUUGAAUUGA
rnacentral:lncRNA from 1 species